AUGGGAACUGCUGUUAUUUAUGAUUAUGAGCCGGAGCAGCCCCGCGCUCGCCGCGGCUCCUCUCAGCCCUGCGCAGCCCGCGGAGCGGAUCUGCUCGCCUCCUGCGCCCGGGAACGGCGGAGCCGGCUCGGCUCCAGGCGGGUAUUUCCCUUCCUCGGCUGCUCCGCGCACCGUGACCGAGGCAGAGCAAACGCCGGGCGGUUCGUGCGAGCGAUAGCAACGGCAACCCCGAUAAGAGCAGCAGCGAGGGCGAGGGUGGGCGGCGGGGCUGCGCCGGGGGUGUUUUCCGUGGGGGCUGCGCGGCCCCGGGCUGCCUCUGGCUCGGCCCGGGGCUCGGUGCGGUGCCGGGGCUCGGUGCGGAGCCGGGGCUCGGUGCUGGCGGCUCUGCCCUCCGCGCUCCCCGGUGGGAACGGGCCCGGAGCCCUCCCCACGCAUCUCCCCCGGGAGCGGCCGGGGCAGGGCGGAGGGACCGGGGUGGCGGCUGUUUCCCUGCGUUUCGUUAGGGUUUGCUUGCGGGGCUUUUGUUUGCUUUUUAUUUGUUUGUUUUAUUUUUUUUUUCCGCUCGGCCCCGGCACGACGCGAGCCCCCUCGCCAGCCGGGCCCGGCGGCGGGGACAGGGGAGCGCGGCCCCGGCCCGGCCUUGCCGCAGCGCCGGGACCUGGAACGGGCAACCGGGAACCGGGAGCUGAACACCGCGGGCAGCUCCGGCCGCCGGCUCCGUCCCGCCGCGAUGCCCCGUUUGCCCCCCCCGGCCCCUCCGAGCCGAGGUGCGGAGCGGGGCGCAGCGGCCCUCCCUGCGCGCCUGCCUCCUUCGUGCGCCGCGCUUUGCCUUUUUCUUUUUAUUUCUUUCUAUUUUCUUUAUUUUUAAUUUUCUCUUUCCUUUCUCUUCCCCUCAAUCCGUUUCUAUUCGCUCCGCGCCGUCUCCGCCGGUUCCCGUUAUUCGGGGGCCGGACGCAGGUUGCCGCAGACACCGAGCGGCGGCUCGGGGCCCACCGCAGCCCGGCGGCACAUUUGGAGGCCUCGCACUCCCCGUCCCCGGGGAAUCCCGGAGCUCCCGCCCCGGCCGUGCCCAGGCCCCUCGGCGGCCACGAUUGCCGCAGCCCCGGGGGACGCCCGGUGCCGGGCUGCGGAGCCCCGCUGCGGCGUCGGGGGGCACGGAGCCCUCGCGGUGUCCUUCGCCGGGGAUUGAGCUCUCGGGGAUGCUGGGCUCCCGGCAAUUGGAUUAACAGCUAA
rnacentral:lncRNA from 1 species